UACGUAGGGUGCGAGCGUUAAUCGGAAUUACUGGGCGUAAAGCGUGCGCAGGCGGUUUUGUAAGCCAGAUGUGAAAUCCCCGGGCUUAACCUGGGAAUGGCAUUUGGGACUGCAAGGCUUGAGUGCGGCAGAGGAGACUGGAAUUCCUGGUGUAGCAGUGAAAUGCGUAGAUAUCAGGAGGAACACCGAUGGCGAAGGCGGUCUGCUGGG
rnacentral:rRNA from 1 species